rnacentral:misc_RNA from 1 species
GUGAAUCAUCGAAUUUUUGAACGCAAAUUGCACUCUCUUCGUAGAGUAUGCCUGUUUGAGGGUCAGCCUAAAAUAAAUCGACAUCGCUGCUGUUUCGCGGUGGCGUUCGUCGGACAUCUGGUUAUCUUCAAUCUGUGGUUUAUGCGACUUAAAAUUUUCUUUACGAUUCUAUGAACGUUUCCUAGUUAUA